AGGAUAAAAGUAAAUGAAAUACUCUUAUUAGAAAAUUUUGGAACAUAUAUUAGAGCAGUAAAAUACAAAACAAGCUACACAAUUGGAUGAAUGAAGCUACAAGUAAGGUUCCUAUUCAAGCAUAGGAGACCCUUCCAAGGAGGGGAAUGAAGUAGUAGCUAAUCCUACUCUAUUGGAAUUGUAGUAGCAAAAACUUAGAUAAUAGUUAAGGUUGCUUUGGUCAAAGGAGCUACAAUAGGAGAUCUUCUACCCCUCCUCAAUCUUCUCUCCAUCUUUCUCGAAAAUAUGGCCCCAUGUAGCUCCAAGGAGCAGCCACCUCACCUACAAAAAAAUUACACCAAAAAGGGUGUCAAAUUUUUAACACAUAAGAAAGGAAAGAGGAGAGACAAGCUCAAUUAAGAUAGUAGGAGUAAUAGGCAGCCAAGAGGCUGCGGUUUUCAGCUGUGAGGACAGCCAUAGUUGACCACUCUCAACUUACACCAAAUGGGAAUCAAGACCAACUGCCACCAAGUAAGAGGAGCCAAACACAAGCCAAAAAUUGAUACAAAGAAUUUCCCCUAUCGAGACUCAAGGGAAAGUCAAGGAAAGACUUCCUCCCCUCAAGAAUUUCACCAAAAUAGUAUAAACAACAUGACUAUGAAGCUUAGAAAGAGAGCUGAGCUUAUAACCAAAAUUAGGAGCUCAAUGCCCAAGAUUCUGCCACAAGAGGCCAAGGCAUUUUGCCUAUAAAUACCACCGCCUCCCUCCCCACUCCACACUCAGUUUUCCUGCCAAAUUCUCGCAAGGCAAGGGAGUGCGACGGAGUGAAGGGCGACGGAGUGAGGAGCGACGGCAGUCAAGGGGCAACCAAGGACCGAAGGGAAUCACCGAGCAAGGUAAUCCCCUCGACAACACCCUCUUUUGCAUCAUAUAGAAUGGUCGGAUAGCACAAGAACAUAGAACUCCUCAUAAGGAUCCCUACAACAAGUAUGAAAAUAGAACAGUAGCAAAUCCACCAAGUAUUCCCCAGUGAACAUAUGCAGAACCAAAGCUACAGUGAGCCAAUGCUCCCAAAUGCAUAUGUAAAGUCAUAACACAUAGCCAAGAAUCCCAAUACCACAAAGCUACUGCCCAACUUCCCCUCAAAGCACAAAAAUCACAAGAACAAGGAUUUGAGAUAACAAAGCAAUACCAAGCUGAUGCAUAACUCGAUAAUUGACGAGUAAAUGGGGGAAAGGGGGAAGGGACUUAGCUUCUGGACUGAGAGGCCGCCGGGCGGCAGCGCGCGAGACGGAGGUGGUGCGGAGCGAGGAGGACUCCCCGCUAGACUCCAGCGACCGCGAAGCUCCGGAAACUUCCGUGGAGAAAUUUCAGGCCGCGGCUGAGGAAGAGGGAGGGAGGCGACGCCUCCUCUCCACUGCUGACUCGCCGAGAGAGAGAGCACUCGUUGGAGGACGUUCAACGGAGGGAGCGGGCGUGAGCGGCGGAGAGCCGUGAGAGAGAAGAGAGACGCCGCUGCUCCUCCAUCUCUAAUUUUAGGGAUUUCAUUUGGAAAUUGGAAACUUGGGAGAUUUCCAGAACGAAGAGAAAAGGAGAGAGGAUGGGCGAAUUAGAGAGGGACUACGCCGGUAGAUCUCCGGCGAAGCCGGACGGCGAGGGAGCGCGAUGGGGGAGGCGCUGCUGUUCUUCCUCUUCAAUUUCAGGAUUUGGGAGAAAUAAUGGGGGAGAGAUAGUUCACGAUGGCAGCAAGGGAGUAUUUUGGACCCCAAGAGUUGGGCUUUGUUGGAAUUAAUUAGUUGGGCCACCUUAUUUGUUUUAGUUGGGCCAUUCCAUUAAUAAAGUGACUUGGGCCAAGAUUUAAUAAAAGAAAGAGAGGGGAGAAUGGACCUUAUUUAUUUAAGUUGGGGCCUUUUGAGAGGAGAAUGGGCCGAAAAUAAAUUAGGAAGAAUGGGUUGUUCCCAAUUAAAAAGGUUUUGGGCCAUGAGAUUUUAUUGGAAUGGGCUACUUAAUUUAAUUAGUGAAUUUGGGAGAUUAUUUUGUGGAGGGAAAUUAAUUUAAGAAAUUGAGCUUGGAGCUUAAUUAAAUUAGUUUCCGGAUAAUUUAUUCCAAGGAAGGAAGAUAUUAUAAUUUGGGAAGCGAGGGCCGACCGGCGUCGCCCCGCGACGUUAUGGGCGGCCUUAAGAGAUCUUAAGAAGCCUUAAGAAAAAUCCGAAGAAGAAGGAAAUUAAGGAGGGAUUUUAAGAAUCCAUAUUUAUUGAGAAAAUAGAAUUUCUCCAAAAGAAGUAAAGAAAAUAAUUAAGUGCUGCAGAACAGUGAAGCCAAGUUAGGAUUUAAAGAGAAAACCUAUAAGCCGAGACUAAGAGAUAGAUGCUAUCCUGUAGGAUGCAUGCAUUCUUUUUCAGAGAAAUAGUUCAAGUGCUAAUUAGCGUGUUACGCUAUUUAUUUUCAAGGGAGAAAAUAUUCAAGGGCAAGUGAGACCUAACGAAGAAUUUAAUUGAAGAUAAGCAUACGAGGUAACAUUCUCGAAGCGUUGCAGCAGUCUAAUGAAGAAGGCCAAUGAAGUGGCUGUGUGCUGCGAUGUUAGCAAAUUUUCCAAUCUAAAAAGAUUGAAGAUUUGCUCUAUCGGUAUGUAAAUCUGCCUGCGGACAAGAGAUUGAUGUGCAAUUUUGGGUGAAUGCACAGCCAUAUAAGCAACGUGCAGGUAUGUGCGUUUUUCUCAAAUCCAAAAAAUUGUUUCAAAUCUCUUUAUUAUGCUGAUGUUAUUGUGAUGAUACUAACACUGUUCACUUUUACAUAGGAAUAAAUUCAGAAAAAUAAUACUAUA